rnacentral:rRNA from 1 species
AGAUUGAACGCUGGCGGCAGGCCUAACACAUGCAAGUCGAGCGGUAGAGAGGUGCUUGCACCUCUUGAGAGCGGCGGACGGGUGAGUAAAGCCUAGGAAUCUGCCUGGUAGGUGGGGGAUAACGCUACGGAAACGGACGCUAAUACCGCAUACGUCCUACGGGAGAAAGCGGGGACCUUCGGGCCUCGCGCCAUUAGAUGAGCCUAGGUCGAUUAGCUAGUUGGUGAGGUAAUGGCUCACCAAGGCGACGAUCCGUAACUGGUCUGAGAGGAUGAAUCAGUCACACUGGAACUGAGACACGGUCCAGACUCCUACGGGAGCAGCAGUGGGAAUAUUGGACAAUGGGCAAAGCCUGAUCCAGCCAUGCCGCGUGUGUGAAGAAGGUCUUCGGAUUGAAAGCAACUUUAAGUGGAGAAAGGUUGUAAACCUAAUACGUUGCAAACGUUUGACGUUACCGAACUAAGAAUAAGCACCGGACUAACUUCGUGACCAGCAGCCG